rnacentral:snoRNA from 1 species
AACCUAUGAUGUGGGCGUCUCUGUAUUAGCGUUUUAAAAUGCUCCCAAGCUUCGUGAAAGCUCUCUCCUUCUAACUGUUUAAAUGUUGUGAUAUCUCUUCUUAGUU